rnacentral:tRNA from 1 species
UACCUUUUUAAUACAACUAGUAUAAGUGACUUCCAAUCACUAAAUCCUGAAUAAUACCCAGGAAUAGGUAA